rnacentral:tRNA from 2 species
GCGAGAGUAGCCAAGUGGCUAACGGCGACAGACUCAAGAUCUGUUCCCGCAGGGGUCCGUCGGUUCGAAUCCGGCCUCUCGCA